rnacentral:rRNA from 1 species
UUAAAUUGAAGAGUUUGAUCAUGGCUCAGAUUGAACGCUGGCGGCAGGCCUAACACAUGCAAGUCGAACGGUAACAGGAAGAGCUUGCUGCUU